UGCAGUGCCCUCGCCGGGACUCGAACCUGGACCUCUUGAAUACGCACCGAGUGUGCUACCGUUACACCACGAAGGCAUGCUGGAAGGAGAGAGAGGAAAUACCUUAUACAUUCACUGAUAUCACGGCUUUGGGAUAAAAUCUCUGAUGUUUGACAGAUAAAGAAACACCAGCUACCCUCUUUUUUUCCAAGAUCAUGAUAUAUUAUUGAAUAGUUGAAAGUACUCUAAUUUUUAUGCAAUGUAAUCAUACAUCACUAAAGAAAACAUUGUGGAAGUGGAGUGCUGAAGAAAGCAGAGAUGUUGAUAAUGUUUGCCAACUUACAAUAAAUAUCGACAGUCUGGGAAUCCCUCUGUUCAAAAGUUGCAAAAUCACUAACUUGCACCCGAUAAAAAUGCAAUAGCAGUAUCAGCAUCAGUAGCAGUAGCAGUAGCUGGAGGAGGAGGAGCAGAGGAGUAGCAUCAAGAUGUGUAGUAGGAGUAGUAGAAGGAGAAGCAGAAGGCUUAUUUUUUUAGAUAAUAGCUCUCUAGGAAAGUUUCUUCCAAGCUUUUAGCAUUUAUGGUUGAGCGUUAGAAAGGACUUCUCAUCUUCAUCUGGAAACUUAAAAGCAAGUGGAAACGCAAGUUUAAUUCAGGAAUUAAACUGAAGAAUAUUUCUCAAGAAACAAAGUAAGUAUAUACAUGACUGUGUUAAAAAUCUCGUGCAAGAGGGAAAAUGUGAAGAUUUACUCAGAGAUAAAAGUGCAAGAGAUAUUUCCAGAGACUAAAAGCUUUUCAAGCAAAUAUUUCACGCAGAGGCUUAUGUUUAUUUAGUAACUGUAUAAUUCAUUUUAGUGUCAGUGCUGGCAGUUUAACUUUUG